rnacentral:rRNA from 1 species
UACGGAGGGUGCAAGCGUUAUCCGGAUUCAUUGGGUUUAAAGGGAGCGUAGGCGGACUUAUAAGUCAGUGGUGAAAGCCGAUAGCUUAACUAUCGAAUUGCCAUUGAUACUGUAGGUCUAGAGUACAGAUGAUGUUGGCGGAAUAUGACAUGUAGCGGUGAAAUGCAUAGAUAUGUCAUAGAACACCGAUUGCGAAAGGCAGCUGACAAAACUGUAACUGACGCUGAGGCUCGAAAGUGCGGGGAUCAAACAGG